rnacentral:rRNA from 1 species
CACGGGGGGAGCAAGCGUUGUUCGGAAUCACUGGGCGUAAAGGGCGUGUAGGCGGUCAGGUAAGUGGGAUGUGAAAUGCCCGGGCUCACCCCGGGACCUGCAUCCCAAACUGCUGAGCUUGAGUACAGGAGAGGGUGGGGGAAUUCCAGGUGUAGCGGUGAAAUGCGUAGAUAUUGUGAGGAACACUAGUGGCGAAGGCGAAUCUCUGGACAGUUCCUGACGCUGAGGCACGAAGGCCAGGGGAGCAAACGGG